rnacentral:rRNA from 1 species
UCCCGUUGAUCCUGCGGGAGGUCGCUGCUAUUAGAGUUCGACUAAGCCAUGCAAGUCUGGGGUUCUUCGGGGCACCGGCAAAAUGCUCAGUAACACGUCGGUAAUCUGCCCUUUGGUCAGGGAUAACCUCGGGAAACUGAGGCUAAUACCUGGUAUGAGAUUUCUUCUGGAAUGAUUUAUCUCUGAAACAUUAGGCUAUUGGAUGAGCCGGCGGCGGAUUAGUUUGUUGGUGAGGUAAUGGCUCACCAAGGCUAUGAUCCGUAGGGGCCUUGAAAGAGGUAGCCUCGAGAAGGACACUGAGAUACUGGUCCUAGCCCUACGGGGUGCAGCAGGCGCGAAACCUUUACAAUGCACGCAAGUGUGAUAAGGGGACUCUAAGUGCUCAUGCUUUGCAUGGGCUUUUGCCAAGAGUAAAUACCUUGGCGAAUAAGUGGUGGGAAAGACUGGUGCCAGCAGCCGCGGUAACACCAGCGCCACGAGUGGGGACCAUGUUUAUUGGGUCUAAAGCGUCCGUAGCCUGUUUAGUAAAUCCUUUGUGAAAUCGUUUGGCUCAACCAAACGGCGUGCAGAGGAGACUGCUAAGCUUGGGACCAAGAGGGGCCAGAAGUAUGCCUUGGGGAGCGGUAAAAUGCUAUAAUCCUUGGUAGACUACCUGUGGCGAAGGCGUCUGGCUAGAAUGGAUCUGACGGUGAGGGACGAAAGCUAGGGGAGCGAACCGGAUUAGAUACCCGAGUAGUCCUGGCUGUAAACGUUGCGAGCUAGGUGUUGUGCAUUUUACGUGAAUGUGCAGUAUCGUAGCGAAGGCGAUAAGCUCGCCACCUGGGAAGUACGGUCGCAAGGCUGAAACUUAAAGGAAUUGGCGGGGGAGCACUACAAGGGUGCGGCGUGCGGUUCAAUCUAACUCCACACAGAGAAUCUCACCAGCAGCGACGGCAGGAUGAAAGUCAGAUUAAAGGUUUUACUUGACGAGCCGAGAGGUGCUGCAUGGCCGCCGUCAGCUCGUGCCGCAAGGUGUCCAGCUAAGCCUGGUAACGAGCGAGACCUGUAUCUACAAUUGCUAAUGGGUCCUUUAGGAUGACCAUGCACAUUGUAGAGACUGCCUCUGUAAGGGGAGGAAGGUGCAGGCAACGGUAGGUCUGUAUGGCCCGAAUCUGCUGGGCUACACGCGCGCAACAAUGGUAGGGACAAUGGGAUGCGACUCCGAAAGGAGAAGCUAAUCCUCUAAACCCUAUCCAAGUACAGAUCGAGGACUGUAACUCGUCCUCGUGACGAUGGAAUCCCUAGUAAUCGGAUGUCAUCAGCGUCCGGUGAAUAUGUCCCUGCUCCUUGCACACACCGCCCGUCAAAC